GUGCCAGCCGCCGCGGUAAUACGUAGGUGGCAAGCGUUGUCCGGAUUUAUUGGGUUUAAAGGGUGCGUAGGCGGCUUUGUAAGUCAGUGGUGAAAUAUCGCAGCUUAACUGUGAGGGUGCCAUUGAUACUGCAGAGCUUGAGUACAGAUGAGGUAGGCGGAAUUGACGGUGUAGCGGUGAAAUGCUUAGAUAUCGUCAAGAACACCUAUAGCGAAGGCAGCUUACUAGGCUGUAACUGACGCUGAGGCACGAAAGUGUGGGGAUCAAACAGGAUUAGAUACCCCUGUAGUCC
rnacentral:rRNA from 1 species